rnacentral:rRNA from 1 species
GAUAUAUAACUUCUUGUUAUUUGUGGUGUGAAGGAGGGGGUAGGGGAUCUUCUUGCUACGUCUUAUUUUUUUUUUUUUUUUCAUGUCAUGACGUUAUCUAAUCAGAAAGUCACGGCUAACUACGUGCCAGCAGCCGCGUUAAUACGUAGGUGGCAAGCGUUAUCCGGAUUUAUUGGGCGUAAAGCGCGCGUAGGCGGUUUCUUAAGUCUGAUGUGAAAGCCUACGGCUCAACCGUGGAGGGUCAUUGGAAACUGGAAAACUUGAGUGCAGAAGAGGAAAGUGGAAUUCCAUGUGUAGCGGUGAAAUGCGUAGAUAUAUGGAGGAACACCAGUGGCGAAGGCGACUUUCUGGUCUGUAACUGACGCUGAUGUUCGAAAGCGUGGGUAUCAAAACAGGAUUAGAUACCCUGGUAGUCCACGCCGUAAACGAUGAGUGCUAAGUGUUUAGGGGGGUUUCCCGCCCCUUUAGUGCUGCAGCUUAACGCAUUUAAGCAUCUUCCGCCUGGGGAGUUACGACCCGCAAGGUUGAAACUUCAAAGGAAAUUGACGGGACCUCGCACAAGCGGUGGGAGCAUGUGGUUUUAAUUUCGGAGCAACGCGAAGAAAUCUUUACCAGAUCUUUGACAUUUCUUUUGGACUACUCUAGAGAUAGGAGUUUUCUCUCUUUUGGGGACAAAAAAGUGACAGGGGGCGUGUGUUUU